rnacentral:rRNA from 1 species
UGAGGAAUAUUGGUCAAUGGGCGAGAGCCUGAACCAGCCAAGUCGCGUGAAGGAAGAAUGUCCUAUGGAUUGUAAACUUCUUUUGUAAGGGAAUAAAGGACGAUACGUGUAUUGUUUUGUAUGUACUUUACGAAUAAGGAUCGGCUAACUCCGUGCCAGCAGCCGCGGUAAUACGGAGGAUCCAAGCGUUAUCCGGAUUUAUUGGGUUUAAAGGGUGCGUAGGCGGACUCAUAAGUCAGUGGUGAAAGUUUGCAGCUUAACUGUAAAAUUGCCAUUGAAACUGUUGGUCUUGAGUGCAAGUGAGGUAAGCGGAAUGUGUUGUGUAGCGGUGAAAUGCUUAGAUAUGACACAGAACACCGAUUGCGAAGGCAGCUUACUAAUAUGU